GUGCUCAUUUUUAUAGCAUAUAUCCUAAAAUUGGGACGAUACAGAGAAAAUUAUCAUGACCCCUGCUCAAGGAUGACACAUAAAUUCCUAAAGUGUUCUUUUU